rnacentral:lncRNA from 1 species
CGACCGACAGGUUUAGUCGCAAAUCGGUCGCAAUUUUAUUGCAAAAUAAAACGACAUUGCCGAGUUAAAAAAUUGCGACCGAUAUUAAGGACAUUUGCGACCGACCAGUCGGUCGCAAAUUUUAGGGCUUUAAAUGUUAGACGCCCUCCUUCUUCUUUCUUCUUCUUUCUUUCUUCUACUCCUCCUCUCCUCUCCUCUUUUCGCAGCGCCACUCCAGUCCAUCCUGACGCCGCUCCAGCCCGCCUGUCGCCGCCAUCUCUGCUCCAUUGCAACUCCGGUCACUCCAUUGCUAUUUGGACACAAGUUGAGGUAAGUCUUGCGAUUUUUUUUUUUUUUGAUUUUUUUCAGGGCACUAAAUUAGGGGCGAAUUGUUAAAUAUCUACCACUACCCAUAUAAUUUUUUAGGGCAAAAUAUUAGAGCGCCCAAACGCACACCAUGUUUUAGAGAUGCCCAGCUGAAUUGAACAAAAAUACCUCAACAAAACCCUUUCAUCUCUUCUCUUCGUUGUAUUAUCCUAUCCUCUUCUCAGAUUCAGCUGCAUUCAUCGGGUGAAGAUUCACAAGUAAUUACAAUUUGAUUUAAUUUUUUCAUUAUUAAAAGUUGAUUGACAUCUCCUUGUUAAUCAUUCUGUAAUUGUUAUUUUUUAUCUUUGUUUUUUUUUUNN